UAAUUCGUCGAAAACUUUGGC
ensembl:piRNA 21ur-8919 ncRNA